rnacentral:rRNA from 1 species
GUGCAAGCGUUGUCCGGAAUUAUUGGGCGUAAAGAGCUCGUAGGCGGUUUGUCGCGUCUGCUGUGAAAACUCGGGGCUUAACCCCGGGCCUGCAGUGGGUACGGGCAGACUAGAGUGCGGUAGGGGAGACUGGAAUUCCUGGUGUAGCGGUGAAAUGCGCAGAUAUCAGGAGGAACACCGGUGGCGAAGGCGGGUCUCUGGGCCGUAACUGACGCUGAGGAGCGAAAGCGUGGGGAGCGAACAGG